GUUUGCUAAGCAGCAUCUCCGGAACAGCCCCCGUGCUAUAUGUUGUUUCUUGUGCUGGAUCUCCCAGGUGGAUCCCGGACAGGAUGCUGCAGGUGGUGCAGGAAGGCAAUCUUGCCCCAUUCGUCAUCAACACAGUGAAAAGGGGUCGAAGAGACCGAGAGCGCCAGAGGACGCCACGGGCUCCACAUCCGCUUGGACUCCGGGAAAGGCUAUACAUCUGCGAAAGCCCUAAUCACAGAGGGAACGACUGCUCGUUCCUGGCCCAGAAAUGAGAUGAGAAAUCCAAGGCCCCGUACAGGAAGG
rnacentral:lncRNA from 1 species